AGUAACAGUUCAUUCUUUAGUUGGGCUUCCAUUUUAAUUGGGCCAAAAUCCAUGAAAACAUCACGUGUGAGGCACGUGAUGGCAUGCUUGUUAAACUCACCGCUAAACGCUCACCGUCUCCUCUUCUUUCCCUCCAUUUUGUUGAACAACAAAUUGAAUGAUUUGCCAAAGUAUUGGGUUUGAUAUUAGGGUUUCAAUGGGUGUGGUUGAAGAGAUGGAUGGUGUUAGAUGUAUUAUAGUAUUGUAUAUUUAUAUACAUGUAUAUGUAUGGAUAUAUGUAUAUGUAUACUUAUGUGUUCUAUAUGUAGACCCAAAGGGUCACUCAUGUAUGUUGUUCAAUGUAUGAGGACUUCGAUCCAUUCUUCAUCAAUCUCUUCUAACAUGGUAUCAGACGCCUAGGUUCUUCCGGCCGCCGCCGUCACGCACCGCCAGCCACCACCGCCACCCUUCUCUCUCUCUCUCCCUGAGCGCCCCACCAGCUCUCUCUCUUUCACUUGCUGGUCUCCUCCUUUUUCCAUUGCCAACACCGCCGAACAAGACACUUGCAUUCUUCUUCCAAACACAAAUAUCCAAAUCAGCUGGACCCACAACCACUUACACCUUUCUUCCAAACACAACGAGACAAUUCGGCUGGACCCACCACAAAGACUUUGUUCUGAUAUGCUGCGGCCCACCCUACCUUGAAGCAUCUCUACAAACCAAAGAAGACAACAUGGGCCUACAAUAUAAAUAUAUGUAUUAAAAA